CGGGGUAUAGCGCAGUCUGGUAGCGCGCCUGCUUUGGGAGCAGGAAGUCAGAGGUUCAAAUCCUCUUACCCCGACCA
rnacentral:tRNA from 1 species